AACGAACGCUGGCGGCAUGCCUAACACAUGCCAGUCGAACGAGACCUUCGGGUCUAGUGGCGCACGGGUGCGUAACGCGUGGGAACCUGCCUUUAGGUUCGGAAUAACUCAGAGAAAUUUGAGCUAAUACCGGAUGAUGUCUUCGGACCAAAGAUUUAUCGCCUUUAGAUGGGCCCGCGUUGGAUUAGCUAGUUGGUGGGGUAAAGGCCUCCCAAGGCGCCGAUCCAUAGCUGGUCUGAGAGGAUGAUCAGCCACACUGGGACUGAGACACGGCCCAGACUCCUACGGGAGGCAGCAGUGGGGAAUAUUGGACAAUGGGCGAAAGCCUGAUCCAGCAAGGCCGCGUGAGUGAUGAAGGCCUUAGGGUUGUAAAGCUCUUUUAACCGAGAUGAUAAUGACAGUACCGGGAGAAUAAGCGCCGGCUAACUCCGUG
rnacentral:rRNA from 1 species